CUCCUGUGCCUGCUGAGGGCAGAUGAAGUGAAUGUGUGUGUCGAAGCCUCCCGCUGUGAUGAUUUUGUUUUCUCCCGCAAUCACAUCUGUUGAUGAACCGAUCACCAUGUUCGGAUGGACACCGUCCAUGACAUCCGGGUUUCCUGACUUGCCAAUACCGACAAUAAUGCCAUCUCUAAUACCAAUGUCUGCCUUGUAGAUACCGGACCAGUCAAUAAUAAUAGCGUUUGUGAUCACUGUAUCCAGACACUCUUUUGCAGACUUUCCUGCCGCCUGACCCAUGCCUUCGCGGAU
rfam:Aspergillus sydowii CBS 593.65 ASPSYscaffold_2_Cont130, whole genome shotgun sequence.